AUUGAACGCUGGCGGCAGGCCUAACACAUGCAAGUCGAACGGUAACAGGAAACAGCUUGCUGUUUCGCUGACGAGUGGCGGACGGGUGAGUAAUGUCUGGGAAACUGCCUGAUGGAGGGGGAUAACUACUGGAAACGGUAGCUAAUACAGCAUAACGUCGCAAGACCAAAGAGGGGGACCUUCGGGCCUCUUGCCAUCGGAUGUGCCCAGAUGGGAUUAGCUAGUAGGUGGGGUAACGGCUCACCUAGGCGACGAUCCCUCGCUGGUCUGAGAGGAUGACCGGCCACACUGGAACUGGGACACGGUCCAUACUCCUACGGGAGGCAGCAGUGGGGAAUAUUGCACAAUGGGCGCAAGCCUGAUGCAGCCAUGCCGCGUGUAUGAAGAAGGCCUUCGGGUUGUAAAGUACUUUCAGCGGGGAGGAAGGGAGUAAAGUUAAUACCUUUGCUCAUUGACGUUACCCGCAGAAGAAGCACCGGCUAACUCCGUG
rnacentral:rRNA from 1 species